GACAGAGGAUGCAAGCGUUAUCCGGAAUGAUUGGGCGUAAAGCGUCUGUAGGUGGCUUUUCAAGUCCGCCGUCAAAUCCCAGGGCUCAACCCUGGAAUGCCGGUGGAAACUGUCGAGCUAGAGUCCGGAAGAGGCGAGUGGAAUUCCUGGUGUAGCGGUGAAAUGCGCAGAUAUCAGGAGGAACACCGAUGGCGAAGGCAGCUCGCUGGGACGGUACUGACGCUGAGACGCGAAAGCGUGGGGAGCAAACAGG
rnacentral:rRNA from 1 species